rnacentral:rRNA from 1 species
GGGGAAUAUUGCACAAUGGGGGAAACCCUGAUGCAGGGACGCCGCGUGAGUGAAGAAGUAUUUCGGUAUGUAAAGCUCUAUCAGCAGGGAAGAAAUACUGACCUUACGGUCAGCAGACGGUACCUGACUAAGAAGCCCCGGCUAACUAC